AUGGCCAUCUUCUCCCUGCAUCACUCCACAUCCUCGUCCCUUGGUGUCUGUCCCUCUGUCCCAAUGUCCCCCUUUUAUUGGGACACUGGUCACACUGGAUUAGCACCUCCGCCCAGUGACCUCCAUCAAGACCUCAUUUCCCAACCAGCUCCCAUUCUGAGGUUCUGGGGGUUACGUCGGACUCUGAUUUGGGGAAACAGAGUUCAACCCUUAGCCACCCAUCUCCUUCCUCUGAGACAGAAGCAGGACAGAAAGAGGCUUGAGGAGAAAGGAAUCCUGAAGGUCAGAAAGGUCACCCUGGGAAGGUCAGCAGCCCUGGGGCGGGGGAGAGGGAGACGCACUCAGCAUUCUGCCCGCUGUUGGGCUCAGUGCCUGGAGGUCCUUGAACCGCCUUCAUUCUGCUGUGUCGUUUGGAGCCGCCACUUUUGCCCACUGUGUUUGACCCUCAAGGGACGGGCAAGCUGGACGCCCCCUCCCCCUGCAAAAAGUGACCACAGAAUUUUGAGGUCCAUUCACCAACUCUAUCUCCCUAAGCCCUCAGUCGCCCCCCAAACCCGCUGCCAUAUGGAACUCCUUCCAAACCUACCAGGCAAUGCUGCCUUUGCCCUUGGGUGGCCUGGAAACUAUUUUCCAGCUGGGACAAGGGGAGGUGUCCAGAAAGGAAGCGGUUCCAGGACGGGUCAGAUUUCUGAUCCAGAGGAUCUGGAUCACGAGGGUGGAGGGCUCCCUCCCCACACAGCCUUCCCCAGGCCCGCUGACUUCCAGACCCUGAAGCCCACAUGCCUCUGUUCAGUCUGGCAGAGAGGGGGGGUCUGGUGGCUUACAUGGAAGUCAAAACGCCCUUCCCCAGGAGGCAGUGGAAAGUCUCAGGGAGCAGCAGGCCACCGAUGGAGAGCCCAGAGGCUCACCUGCCAGCAGCAGUCACCUCAGAGGUCCCCAACUAUCCCAGAGUCCCCCUGGAGGAGUCCCCACCCUGAGCAGAAAAUCCUGAGCAGAAGGCAAAAAUGA
rnacentral:lncRNA from 1 species